UCCCUGGUAGUAUAUCGGAUUAGUACACGCGCCUGUCAGCAUUGACGCGGGCGCGCGCGCGCGCCCAUUCGCGCGCCGCGCGUGCCCACGUGAGAUCGCGCGCGAGAGCGGGGUUCGACUCCCCGCCAGGGAG